rnacentral:rRNA from 1 species
UACGUAGGGUGCGAGCGUUGUCCGGAAUUACUGGGCGUAAAGAGCGUGUAGGCGGCCAGGUAGGUCUGCUGUGAAAACUCGAGGCUCAACCUCGAGACGUCGGCGGAAACCAUCUGGCUAGAGUCCGGAAGAGGAGAGUGGAAUUCCUGGUGUAGCGGUGAAAUGCGCAGAUAUCAGGAAGAACACCCGUGGCGAAGGCGGCUCUCUGGGACGGUACUGACGCUGAGACGCGAAAGCGUGGGGAGCGAACAGG